ACGCACGCUGGCGGCGUGCUUAACACAUGCAAGUCGCACGGAAAGGCCCUGCUUUUGUGGGGUGCUCGAGUGGCGAACGGGUGAGUAACACGUGAGUAACCUGCCCUUGACUUUGGGAUAACUUCAGGAAACUGGGGCUAAUACCGGAUAGGAGCUCCUGCUGCAUGGUGGGGGUUGGAAAGUUUCGGCGGUUGGGGAUGGACUCGCGGCUUAUCAGCUUGUUGGUGGGGUAGUGGCCUACCAAGGCUUUGACGGGUAGCCGGCCUGAGAGGGUGACCGGCCACAUUGGGACUGAGAUACGGCCCAGACUCCUACGGGAGGCAGCAGUGGGGAAUAUUGCACAAUGGGCGGAAGCCUGAUGCAGCAACGCCGCGUGCGGGAUGACGGCCUUCGGGUUGUAAACCGCUUUCGCCUGUGACGAAGCGUGAGUGACGGUAAUGGGUAAAGAAGCACCGGCUAACUACGUG
rnacentral:rRNA from 1 species